rfam:Ovis aries breed Texel chromosome 3, whole genome shotgun sequence.
UGGCUCAGACGGUAAAGCCUCUGUCUACAAUGCAGGAGACCCAGGUUCGAGCCCUGG